GCAAUGCCAAAGAUUUAUUGAAGAGGGUCAAGGCUUACCGAGUCACUAGGUGAAGGAUUUCUCCUGCCCAAUUUGUGGAUGGAACAUCUUCCAACAAUUUCAGUAGUGAAAUUAUUGCGGAUUUUGUUUCAUUUUUGCCAUUUUAUUGUCAACCUCCAAAUUUUAAGCUGCUUUUAUAUUGGAAUGAGGAUUUAUAUGUCAAGCUCCCAACCUCACGUUAAUUCUUCUUGAGCAACAGGCAAAUUAGAAGUUUCUAUUGAAUGAUAAAAAAGGACGUGGA
rnacentral:misc_RNA from 1 species